AAUGUUGAAAUCAUGUUCUAAAAUUGGAACGAUACAUUGAAGAUUAGUGUGGCCCCUGUAUAAGGAUGAUACGCAAAUUUGUGAAACAUUCCAUAUUUUU
rnacentral:snRNA from 1 species